rnacentral:rRNA from 1 species
CCUACGGGAGGCAGCAGUGAGGAAUAUUGGUCAAUGGACGAGAGUCUGAACCAGCCAAGUAGCGUGAAGGAUGACUGCCCUAUGGGUUGUAAACUUCUUUUAUAUGGGAAUAAAAUGUUCCACGUGUGGGAUUUUGUAUGUACCAUAUGAAUAAGGAUCGGCUAACUCCGUGCCAGCAGCCGCGGUAAUACGGAGGAUCCGCGAGUUAUCCGGAUUGAUUGGGUUUAAAGGGUGCGUAGGUGGAUUGUUAAGUCAGUUGUGGAAGUGUGCGGCUCAAACGUAAAAUUCCAGUUGAAACUGGGUGUGUUGAGUACAUGAGAGGUAGGCAGAAUCCGGGGUGUAGCGGAGAAAGGCUUAGAUAU